GUUUUAAAUUCAUAUUAAUUGAGAUCCAAGUAUAUUGUUAUUGACAGUGCCAAUAAGUAGGAAGGACCAAGUCUGUAAACCUCCAUAGCUGAGCAGGAGAAACUGAUCCAGGUUUCAGUGCAGCUCUGAAUAAUUAGCAAACACUGAGGACCCAGCUUUUGCCCUGUGGAAAGACACUCGAUGACAAAUAACACUUUUUAGAGUUUUAGACAGGCGUAGGGGAAGGAUAUGCUAUUUACCCAGGGGGUGGUAGCAUAUGACGUCUACCACCCCAAGGAGAUGUUGCAGAUGGAAAAUAUUAUUAAUUCCAGAGGAGUCUCUAGACAUAUUUACAGAUGAUACACCCAUGGAUAUUGAGUGCUUCUGCAACAUUCCAGAAUCUUUGGACUUUGAUGUCAUUCACUAGUCAUUCUUUGAUCAUGAGCCUGAUGUACAAUUCUUUACAUCUUAACAUCUUAUCUUUUAUGUUCCAAAUUCAGGGGAACUUGAGGUAAUGAAAUAGUCAUGCAUGUAUUUAUUCAUGUAGUCAGCAUUUAUUCAGCACCUGUUUGUAGGGGAUUAGGCUAGGCAGUGAUUAAUAAGAAAUGAAAGGCGUUUUUCUUAUAAAGAUUGCUAUUAUCUAGUAAAUAAUAAUAGUAAUUAUUAUUUGCUCCCCCAGGCUCUGUAAAUCCUGGUUGAAAUGGGAUGACAUUAACAGUAGCAACGCAGAUUUUUCUGACUCUCAUCUUUAAUUACAGGACCUCUGCUUCUGGAAAAGGGUUGGGCAUUUAUUCCUAGAGUCCCACGUGGUUUCUGCUGGGUACCGCACACGGCCCCCAUUUUCUUCCCCUGCUGCUCUGGCUUUCUUCUGCAUAGGCUUCCAGUCUUGGGAUACUGCUCUGCCUCUGGGGCCCACGGCUAAGAUGCUCUCCAUGGCUGAGUCUCUUCUGCCGAGCAUCACUGCUGCUGAUGUAUUGGGAUUCCUUUGGUGGAAACUGUGUAUCACACUCUUUGGAGUUCUCAGGAUGCCAGUGCUCAUCAACAUUCCUGGCAGAGGUAGAUGAUAUAUGUCUCUCCCAAUUUUGGGUCUCGUGAUGAAGCGGGGUUAUUUGUGCCAACUGUCUUACAGAGCUCUACUGCUCCAGUUCUUGUUUCAUAGCUUUUCCUCCCUGAUUCUUCCUCCAUCUCUUCUCCUUCUCUCCAUUCCCCUUUGCCAUACAGUUCAUUGGGGCGGGGGGUGGAGGGCAGUGAGGGCAAAGUGGACAAAUCAAAGUGACGCUUUUCAACUCAGAAUCAUGCUCGCCCUCAAACCACUGUUGUUAAACUGGCUUUUAUUUCUGAAUGCUUUUCCCAAUAGGACAGAAUUCUCUUAGUUCUUGUAAAUAGAUGUGUAGUUGGCCCAGUUUAUCAAACCUGCAGGCAUGCUCAAAUAUCAUAGGUUGAAGUCCGUUAAUAAUCAUUUACAUUUAAAUCUCAUCACAAAGGAUUUUCAUAGACAGUAUCUCAUUUUUCUCACAGGAGCCCAGCAUCAGAUAUAUAGCUUCAGUUUGCUGUGCACACUACAGAAUGUAGCAUUCAGAUCUCUUUACUCUCUGGCCUCCACCUAUCUCUGUUAGUUUCCUCUCUAUCUCUCCAUCUCUCCAUGUGAAUCCUAUGCCCCAGUCUUAGAAGGAGAAUCAUAUGCAAUCUUCUGAAUUAUCCAUGCUCCUUUUUACAUUUGUGUCUUAGAUUGGAUUUCCUGGAGACAAACUCUGAGAUGGAGAACUUCUUGGGAGAGUCAUCAGAGAGUCACAGAGAAGUGAUGAAGGCAGAAUUGGGCACUGGGGGCAGCUGAUGUGCAAUGUGGUUGCGACCAAGGUAUCAGACAGUUCUGCAGAGGAUGUAACAGUGGGCAAGACAGUUCUCUGAGGCUGAGGGCAAUUCCCAGUGAGGAACAAAGAUGUGAGCCGUUGGCAUCUAAUAUUACCAGCAAUGGGAGAUGGGUGGUCCAGCCCAUGAGAAGGGCCCAGAUGGAAUACCAGAAUAUCCAUUGUACAUAUUUUCCUUCCACUUUAAUGUUCUUACCCAGCUUAAUUGCUCAAAAUCAUGCCAUAUUUUAAUUUCUCUAGUUUUUAAAUCAUUUUUCAUCUUAAUACAAUUAAUUUUCCUUGGAGUUUGUAAUUGACACUUUGCCUCUUCCCACUAUGACAAAAUAAACGUAUGUCUUUAACUGCUAAACUUAACUUGCUUCUUUGGUUAAAAAUGAAUAGAAUGGGAUACACUUUUUUCCUUAGAAAUAUUUUUUUGAAUCUGCUGACCCCCUGUUCUAUUUUGGAACAAUUGUUUUCUAGUCUUGUUGUGCAGCUUUCCUGCUGGGAUAUGUUUUCAUUUGAACUCCUGCCUUAGAAAUAAUAUUUCUUAGAUUCCACAUCUUAUUCCUUGUAUUUGUGUACAACCUCAAGUUACUUUUUAUAAAGGAUUAGUAGAGAUAAACUUCUUGUCUAAAAAUGCAUCGUUUUGCCCUGAAAUAGAAUUUUUGGUUCAAAUAAUUUCUACUCAUAAUUUUAAAGGAUUAUUUCAUUGUCUUUUAGUAGCUGGUGUUGCUAAUGAGAAGUUUUGAUGCCUCAAUGAUUCUUCUUCCUUUGCUGGUAACCUGUUCUUUUUUGGUGACCAGUUUUAGAUCUUCAUAUUAUCUCCAGUAAUCAGAAACUUCAUUGUUAUCACUAAGUAUGAGUCUGCUCUGUUAGACACUCACGGUUGCUUUCAAUCUCACAACCUCUGUCUUUUCUCAGCUCUGGAAAUGUGUCUCCAAUUACUUUUUCCCCUUCAUUUUCUUAGUUUCUUCUUGUAUCUUAUUUCUGAAUCUCUUCAAUUGAUUCCCUGUGUAUUUUACAUUUCUUUGUAAAAAUUUAUUUUUUUCUCAUCUUUUCUAUGACAAUCAUAUUUUUAGUUACCAAAAUUUCUUAUAUUUGAUUGCUCCUUUUUAUGAUGAUCAACUCUUGUUUUACAAAUGAAGCUUUUCCACACUUGUGGCAAGGAAGUUAAAUUUUUCACACUCCAGAAUCUCUCAGUCAUUAGAAUGUACAAGAGUGUGUCCAAUGGCUUGAAAGAAAUUCUCCAAAACCAGGUCCUGAGAGAGCUGUGGGAAUCUGGAUGGAACACUGAAGUUAUACCCUCUUGAUACCAUUUUUGACUGUGGUGUGACAGUCUUUUAUUGAGUCUUCUGAACAUGAUGAAAAUGAGUUACAUCUCAUUUUAAACUUAAGAUAUUUUCUGGGGUUUCUUGGUUUUUUUCAUGACUUUUCAGGCAUUCUCUGGGCCUCACUUACUGGCCAGAUGGAAUUGAACUAGACAAGGCAGUAAAAAUGGUCAAAGUUAAUUGGAUUUAUUCAAAGGAAGGAAAUUAAGAGCUGCCAUUACAUAUAGAUUGGGAGCCUUAAGAGAGAAAGAAGUUUUAUUGUGAGUUGGAUUUUAUGAGAAGUCUAUAGAAUGUGCUCAGUUGUUAGAGGUUUUUACACAAAGAAUGAUGAGAAGCUCCAAUUUAAGGUAUGUAUUCUCCCUUACCCAUAAUCUUCAUUGUUGAAGUGGUUGCAAACAAAUAAGUAUUUGCUAUAAAUAAAGGAUUAAAGACUGAGAAAUCAUUUCCAACACUAUGAGAUGACAGUGCUAAUGAAUCACUUCUUAAGAACUUUAGGGGUUCCCAUCAUGGCUCAGUGGUUAACGAAUCCGACUAAGAACCAUGAGGUUGCAGGUUCAAUCCCUGGCCUUGCUCAGUGGGUUGAGGAUCCCGUGUUGCUGUGGUUGUGGCAUAGGCCAGCAGCUGUAGCUCCGAUUCGACCCCUAGCCUGGGAACCUCCAUAUGCCACAGGACCAGCCCUAGAAAAG
rnacentral:lncRNA from 1 species